rnacentral:rRNA from 1 species
UACGGGGGGGGCUAGCGUUGUUCGGAAUUACUGGGCGUAAAGGGCUCGUAGGCGGCCACCUAAGUCAGACGUGAAAUCCCCAGGCUCAACCUGGGAACUGCGUCUGAUACUGGGUGGCUUGAAUCCGGGAGAGGGAUGCGGAAUUCCAGGUGUAGCGGUGAAAUGCGUAGAUAUCUGGAGGAACACCGGUGGCGAAGGCGGCAUCCUGGACCGGUAUUGACGCUGAGGAGCGAAAGCCAGGGGAGCAAACGGG